GGUCCUGAAAAAGUGUUGGGCGGCUCAUUUGAAAACAAAUCAAUCUUCAAUCGUGGCCGAGAGUUUUGCUUUGAGAUGAAUUGCAUUGGAAUAAACUCGGCCUUCCCUUUUCCUUUGUUUUUGGGUAGAUGAGCAUCUACCAUGCUUACCGUCACCGCAAGGAAAGGAUCAGUGUCAACUACCAUUUGUUUUUCAUGAAAUUUGAGCUUGCCAUUAUCAAUAUAGCUUUGGAUGGCAUCGCGAAAUACGACACAGUUGUUUGUCGUAAGUUUGUUCGAGUUGUGAUAUUUGCAAUAAGUUUUCUUUUUAAAUCUUCAGCUUUGGGAAUGUUAUGCCCUGGCCGAAGCUUGAUAAUUUUCGUGAGCAGUAACUGGUCGAAAAUGGCAUCGACCUUGGUGAUGUCAAAGGUGUAAACCUUUGAUAUUUUAAUGGCAGUUUCCACAGGGGUCGAGCGGGUUUUGACAUUUUUGGAGAUAGCGUGAGCCAACACCUUGCAUACAUAUG
rnacentral:lncRNA from 1 species